rnacentral:lncRNA from 1 species
GAGAUGCACGUGGCAUAUAUGGAAAUGCAUGCAAUUGAAGAAUUUAGGGUGCGUUUGAUUCGCGCUAUCUUUUAAAGAUUUCUAGUAAUUUAAUGGGAAUAAAAAAAUAUGACGGUGUGUGGUUAAACUCACUAAGUAAUCCAGUUGGUAAUAUUGGAUUCACUUGGGAAUAAGAUUCACCCCAAAGUACUAAUCACAUUCCCUUGAGGGAAGGUGGGUAUCCUCAUAUUAAUGGAUUUAAGUAAUCAUAAUAUAUCUAAUAUCUUUCUUUCUUCCUACCCGCCGACUAAUUGAUAUUAUUUUUCUUUACACUCUAACCUUAUAUCUCUCUCUAAACUUAUUUUUCUCUAAAAUUCAACUUUUUUUUCUCUCUCUAAACUUUCUCUCUCUCUCUCUCUUUCUAAAAUUUCAACCCUCUCACUCCCUCUAAUUUCGACUAUAUUUUUCUUUCUAUUUUUUUAAUUAUGCUCUCUCUCUCUAACUUAUAUUCUCUCUUCCUUUUUUCUAAAAAGAUGUUAAAACUUUUGGUAACAUUAUCUAAAAUUAAUUAAAUUAAUUAAUUAAUUAAUUGUAUAUUUUUUAUAAUAUUAAAUAAUAUGGCUAAUUAAUAUUACCGUGCGAACCAAAUACAGGAAUUCUACAUUCUUAGUAAUAGGAUGAAUAAAAAUACGAUUCUCGGAUAUCUUUUAUUCCUAGUAAUCUUUCAUAAUGCGAACCAAACGCACCCUUAAGGUUCUGAGCCCUGAUUUCACCC